CGGACGGGUGAGUAACACGUGGAUAACCUACCUAUAAGACUGGGAUAACUUCGGGAAACCGGAGCUAAUACCGGAUAAUAUAUUGAACCGCAUGGUUCAAUAGUGAAAGACGGUUUUGCUGUCACUUAUAGAUAGAUCCGCGCCGCAUUAGCUAGUUGGUAAGGUAACGGCUUACCAAGGCAACGAUGCGUAGCCGACCUGAGAGGGUGAUCGGCCACACUGGAACUGAGACACGGUCCAG
rnacentral:rRNA from 1 species